rfam:Oryza barthii chromosome 1, whole genome shotgun sequence.
AAAAAAUAAAAACCUAAAUUUUCGUGUACAACAUUUGACCGUCCGUCCUAUUUAAAAAAAAAUAAAAAGACAAGUCACGCAUAAAGUAUUAAUCAUGUUUUAUCAUCUAACAACAAUGAAAAUACUAAUUAUAAAAAAAAUUUCAAAUAAGACAGACAAUCAAAUGUUAGACAUGGAAACUCAGGGUUUGUCUUUUU